rnacentral:rRNA from 1 species
ACUGCAAGUCGAGCGGACAGAUGGGAGCUUGCUCCCUGAUGUUAGCGGCGGACGGGUGAGUAACACGUGGGUAACCUGCCUGUAAGACUGGGAUAACUCCGGGAAACCGGGGCUAAUACCGGAUGGUUGUUUGAACCGCAUGGUUCAGACAUAAAAGGUGGCUUCGGCUACCACUUACAGAUGGACCCGCGGCGCAUUAGCUAGUUGGUGAGGUAACGGCUCACCAAGGCGACGAUGCGUAGCCGACCUGAGAGGGUGAUCGGCCACACUGGGACUGAGACACGGCCCAGACUCCUACGGGAGGCAGCAGUAGGGAAUCUUCCGCAAUGGACGAAAGUCUGACGGAGCAACGCCGCGUGAGUGAUGAAGGUUUUCGGAUCGUAAAGCUCUGUUGUUAGGGAAGAACAAGUGCCGUUCAAAUAGGGCGGCACCUUGACGGUACCUAACCAGAAAGCCACGGCUAACUACGUGCCAGCAGCCGCGGUAAUACGUAGGUGGCAAGCGUUGUCCGGAAUUAUUGGGCGUAAAGGGCUCGCAGGCGGUUUCUUAAGUCUGAUGUGAAAGCCCCCGGCUCAACCGGGGAGGGUCAUUGGAAACUGGGGAACUUGAGUGCAGAAGAGGAGAGUGGAAUUCCACGUGUAGCGGUGAAAUGCGUAGAGAUGUGGAGGAACACCAGUGGCGAAGGCGACUCUCUGGUCUGUAACUGACGCUGAGGAGCGAAAGCGUGGGGAGCGAACAGGAUUAGAUACCCUGGUAGUCCACGCCGUAAACGAUGAGUGCUAAGUGUUAGGGGGUUUCCGCCCCUUAGUGCUGCAGCUAACGCAUUAAGCACUCCGCCUGGGGAGUACGGUCGCAAGACUGAAACUCAAAGGAAUUGACGGGGGCCCGCACAAGCGGUGGAACAUGUGGUUUAAUUCGAAGCAACGCGAAGAACCUUACCAGGUCUUGACA